ACAUGCAAGUCGAACGGUAGCACAGAGAGCUUGCUCUCGGGUGACGAGUGGCGGACGGGUGAGUAAUGUCUGGGAAACUGCCUGAUGGAGGGGGAUAACUACUGGAAACGGUAGCUAAUACCGCAUAACGUCGCAAGACCAAAGAGGGGGACCUUCGGGCCUCUUGCCAUCAGAUGUGCCCAGAUGGGAUUAGCUAGUAGGUGGGGUAACGGCUCACCUAGGCGACGAUCCCUAGCUGGUCUGAGAGGAUGACCAGCCACACUGGAACUGAGACACGGUCCAGACUCCUACGGGAGGCAGCAGUGGGGAAUAUUGCACAAUGGGCGCAAGCCUGAUGCAGCCAUGCCGCGUGUAUGAAGAAGGCCUUCGGGUUGUAAAGUACUUUCAGCGGGGAGGAAGGUGUUGUGGUUAAUAACCGCAGCAAUUGACGUUACCCGCAGAAGAAGCACCGGCUAACUCCGUGCCAGCAGCCGCGGUAAUACGGAGGGUGCAAGCGUUAAUCGGAAUUACUGGGCGUAAAGCGCACGCAGGCGGUCUGUCAAGUCGGAUGUGAAAUCCCCGGGCUCAACCUGGGAACUGCAUUCGAAACUGGCAGGCUAGAGUCUUGUAGAGGGGGGUAGAAUUCCAGGUGUAGCGGUGAAAUGCGUAGAGAUCUGGAGGAAUACCGGUGGCGAAGGCGGCCCCCUGGACAAAGACUGACGCUCAGGUGCGAAAGCGUGGGGAGCAAACAGGAUUAG
rnacentral:rRNA from 1 species